GCAAAAUCACUAGCUCCCAUAGUAGAAAAGUUUACCUAUACUAUUGGUGCGCUUGUCGAGAAAGAAAGCCUAUUCCGAACAAACUCUGGGACCGCUGUGGGAUGAUAGAUCCCAAAUUCAUACAACCAGGCCUAGGCUACAUAAACAAAAAAAAGUUUAAAAGAAAAGAGUCUUACGCAACAGAUCAGAACAUUCAUUUAAAAAUGUUGAUAAACUAUUAUUCACAUUAUAAAGUUCAGCAAUACACACAAGGCAGUAGGCUUCACGUGAAUGUUAGUACCAUAAUGCAAUUAGCAGGGCAAAGUGUUGUUAAAAGCACACCGCACGUGCCUGCGGUUUCAUGUGACAGAGAUGAUGCAACAACUAGCAUGGGUUGCUAAUAUGACACGGAUUGUGCCUUUGGCUACUGGACAAUGAAAUAAAGUUGAUAUAAAAUAAUUGCCUCCACUGAUAGUCUGAUUUUGGCUAGGCUUCUUUAAAGCAAGGACCUGAGCCCUAGGACCAUUCCUCAGGACUACCUGACAUGAUGACUCCUUGCUGUCCCCAGUCCACCUGGCCGUGCUGCUGCUCCAGUUUCAACUGUUCUGCCUUAUUAUUAUUGGACCAUGCUGGUCAUUUAUGAACAUUUGAACAUCUUGGCCAUGUUCUGUUAUAAUCCCCACCCGGCACAGCCAGAAGAGGACUGGCCACCCCACAUAGCCUGGUUUCUCUCUAGGUUUAUUCCUAGGUUUUGGCCAUUCUAGGGAGUUUUUCCUAGCCACCGUGCUUCUACACCUGCAUUGCUUGCUGUUUGGGGUUUUAGGCUGGGUUUCUGUACAGCACUUUGAGAUAUCAGCUGAUGUACAAAGGGCUAUAUAAAUACAUUUGAUUUUAUUUGAUUUUGAUUUGAUUUAGAGGGAAGAACAUCUUUAGAAAGUAUUCCAAAAUUAUCUAUCCAGAUUUCGGCCAUCGGAUAGGAUUAAAUUAUAUUAUAUUUCUAUACAUUUAAUCCUAUCCAAAAGCCAAAAUUCGGAUAGCUAACAUUUGAAAAACUGGGCCCAGGAGAUCCAAAAACCUUUCGGCCGCAUUCCCAAAUAUAUAUCCAUUUCCUUUGAUUUCUUGUUCGUUUGCCUGAAAUAUUUCAAUUAGCAAUAUGAAUAGGCUGGAGUGGAGUGCUCUCAGGAGAAUAAUGAUCCACAAGACCACGCAGUCAGCACCAGGAGAAGCUCAUAUUCCAAUAGCAUCUGUUAACACCGAUACAUCCUACCAAAAUACAACCUAUGACUGCCCUGCUAAUUUGCCUUGCUGGACCUUGUAAACUAACUGAUCCAAAUAUUUUCCUAAUCAAACAUGCAUUCAAAACACGGCGGUUUUGAGUGAUUAUUCAAAUACUUGUUUGGAAGAAAAUAUAGUUCUUUAUUUAUUGUUUAAUUAUUCAAGAUUCCAUUUGUUAUUUAAUUUCAGAAUAAAAUGCUUGAUUGUA